rnacentral:lncRNA from 1 species
AAUAGCUUAGGCUUUACGGGCCAUAGGGUCUCUUUCAAAACUACUCAACUUUGUCAUUGCAACAUGCAAGCAGCAUUGGAGAAUGAAUUUGUUUGUGAUCCAGUAUAUAUACCAUUAUUUAUGAAAAUAGGCUGCCUGCUGGAUUUGGCCUGUGGGCUUGGUUUGUCGACUCCUCUAGACUGAAUCCUUCAGGGGCCUCCUGAAGUCUGGAUGGAUGCCUGCCAUCACAGGAAAGAUAGUCAACUAUUAGGACUUUUAGUUUCUUUAUGCUUCUCAUAUCCCUUCAUCUCUGUAGUUACUUCCUGUGCUAUGGGCUGGUCAACCCACAAUCAAAUGUGUUAGAAUCCUUUCUAAGUGAAAAACCACAUAGUUUCUCAGGAGAACAUGAGGAGUGGACUGGAGGAAAGAUGUAAGUCAGCCCUGAGGAUAAUUUGCCUAGCAUCAGAGCAUGGACUUUCUGAAGGGCAUUCUGGAGGCUCUGGGGUCAUUAUUUGUCUUUCCUUGUGUUCUCAGCUGUUCUGGAGAGCUUGAGAUUCUGGGUAAAGUAAAUGAGCUGAAACUAUGGAAUGAAAAUCCAAAUAAUUAGAUCUUAUUAAGUAAAGCCUAGAAAUAAUUAUUAUUCUUUGUUUUUCUACACAGAUUUUUAUGAGAACAUAACAAAUCUCCAAAAUGGAUGAAUUGCCACUGUGAGUUUGCUGACUUUCUGGUAUAAGGAGUCCUCUUGCUAAUUCUUCAGUGCCAUAUGUUAAUGCAGUUGAGAGUUGGUGUAAAGAUGGCUGUUGGCAUGACAGGGUACUAGGCACCACCUCUUACCAGCCUUUGGUGUUUACACAGAGAUGGCACUUAAGAAUUGCAUUGAGUCUCCCACCUGUGAUUGCAUUCAACCCACACUAUUGAUGAAUUGGAAGUAUAAUCUACUCGAGUUCUCUCAUUAUCUGCAAAAUAAUAUGAUUGAACUCCAUUGGUUCUCCAGUCAACGGCACUGCCAGCCACUUCCUUUGGAGGCACGCAGAAACAUCUGAGCCUGUUGCUGGCUGGUACAAUGACAGCUACUGGCCAGAUUUUUCAACAAAAGUUGGAUAUUACCAGCUGACUCAGGUUAGGUUCUCUAAAAGCAGAUGCCAAGAUGAGAUUGUGCUUGCCAGUGAAUCACCAAGAAAAUGCUCCGAGGGGAGACAGGUAAGGGAGUAGGAGAGGCUGAGCAGAGAAAGGGAGAAAGGUGUCACCACAGUGGACGACAGUGGAAGACUCCACAGGUAGCUUCGGUCUGGUCUUGUAGGAAAGCUCAGAAGUGAGGUAGCUUAAUGCUGCCCCACUCAUGUUGUGGGGCUUUGGCUUUCUUGCCUCCAUAAGAGUGGUGAUGGUGCUGUAGGGAGAGAAAGUACAAACUCUAAGAACCCUCUGUCUUUCUGUGCCUUUGGACAAAACCACCAAAAGGACAGGUUGUCCAAGAAGCACUACAGGAACUGUGUAUAUAAAGCCCUGCAGGGGCAAAGGUUCAGGUCCCUGGGGCUGGGGACUAGUGCACAGAAAUGGUAAAAAAAAGACCUGAGGGGACAGGGCAGAAAGUGAGGAGCCUUUGAGUUUUGUUGACUGUAUCCUUUGCUGUGCAAAAGCUUCUUAUCUUGAUGAAGUCCCAAUAGUUCAUUUUUGCUUUUGUUUCUUUUGCCUUCGUGGAUGUAUCUUGCAAGAAGUUACUAUGGCCGAGUUCAAAAAGGGUGUUGCCUG